rnacentral:lncRNA from 1 species
AUAGAUCAGAUUAUUGCAAAAGUGUCUUCUUGGACAACCAAGAAAUCAUCUUAUGUAAUGAUUGGUGUCUAAGUUUACUGGCUCAAUCAUUUGUUAUUCCAGCUAAAGUAAUGAAAGUCAUUCAAUCUUACUAAAAAAGCUUUGGUGUCUUGGGAUAAGAUGUGCCUACUAAAGAUUGUUGGUGGUAUUAGCGAAGGUUUUGCAGUGUUAACCUUCACAAUUUAUCAUUUUUUUUGUAGUGUCACUCUUAUCAUUAUUGUGAUACAAUGCAUAUUUGGAUCAGGCGAAACGUUAGAGGCAAGAGUCCACUGGCACCAAGUCUGAAAAUUAGUUUACACAGUAUGGAAGAAGAGGAAUGCAAGAAUUUUUCAGAACAUUGAGCAAGCUAGUGAAGAUGUAGCUUGGAGGAUUGCAUGUGUAUAUUGUGCUGAGCUACUGCUGUGAUUAGACUUUUGAUAAAUGUAGUGUUUAGUAUUGUUAGUACCUGUAGUAGUCCUUGUUGAGAAGUAAACAGUGUAGGUGUUGCUUAGUUUUGUAAAGUUACAC